rnacentral:rRNA from 1 species
UACGUAGGGGGCAAGCGUUGUCCGGAAUCAUUGGGCGUAAAGAGCGUGUAGGCGGCUUGGUAAGUCCGCUGUGAAAGUCCAGGGCUCAACCCUGGAAUGCCGGUGGAAACUGUCAAGCUUGAGUCCGGAAGAGGCGAGUGGAAUUCCUGGUGUAGCGGUGAAAUGCGCAGAUAUCAGGAGGAACACCAAUGGCGAAGGCAGCUCGCUGGGACGGUACUGACGCUGAGGAGCGAAAGCUAGGGGAGCAAACGGG